AGGGCAGAGGCGACUGUCGCUGGCGGGGUCUUCUCCCGCAUGUGCACGUCCUUCUGCUUUUACUCUAUUCACCCACACUCACACCUGUGCACUUUUUGUAGAUCCCUCCUCGAAAGAAGAGGGAUCUAUGUCUUUAUCAUAUCACCUUCACAUGUAUGGCCAGAAUGAAAAACAUAAUAAAAUACAACUUUCAGCAAUGGAUCUCUUGGUUCUCGCAUCGAUGAAGAACGCAGCGAAUCGCGAUAAGUAAUGUGAAUUGCAGAUUUCCAGUGAAUCAUCGAAUCUUUGAACGCACCUUGCGCUCCUUGGUAUUCCGAGGAGCAUGCCUGUUUGAGUGUCAUCAGAAUCAAUCAACCACGCUUUUCUUCACGGAAGAGCAUGGCUUGGAGUUGGGGGUUGCUGGCGUUCACCGUCAGCUCUCCUUAAAUGCAUUAGCGAUCGAGUCGGGCUAGUCUUUCGACGUGCACGGCCUUGGACGUGAUAAUGAUCGUCCUGGGCUGGAGCGUUUGGUUGGCAUGACAUAGAUCGAUCGCAAAAAAGAUAUGGGAGGGGAAGGGGAUGGCGAUGUGAUCGGUCUGGUUUGGAGCUUAGAGCUACUAGGCAGUCUUGAGAGAGGCUGGCGAAAACCAAGCAAAGGGACAGAUCGAGAUCAGAGCUUGAGCUUUUCUUUUCUAAUCGAAAAAGAAAAGAUGGGGGAAGGAAGGGGAUGGCGAUGUGAUGGGUCUGGCAGAGCUUUAGCUACUAGGCAGUCUUGAGAGAGGCUGGCGAAAACUGGAGCAAAGACGGAUCGAGAUCAGAGCUUGAGCUUUCUUUCUUUUUUCUUCUUCUUGGA
rnacentral:rRNA from 1 species